GACGAACGCUGGCGGCGUGCCUAAUACAUGCAAGUUGAGCGCUGAAGGUUGGUACUUGUACCAACUGGAUGAGCAGCGAACAGGUGAGUAACGCGUGGGGAAUCUGCCUUUGAGCGGGGGACAACAUUUGGAAACGAAUGCUAAUACCGCAUAAAAACUUUAAACACAAGUUUUAAGUUUGAAAGAUGCAAUUGCAUCACUCAAAGAUGAUCCCGCGUUGUAUUAGCUAGUUGGUGAGGUAAAGGCUCACCAAGGCGAUGAUACAUAGCCGACCUGAGAGGGUGAUCGGCCACAUUGGGACUGAGACACGGCCCAAACUCCUACGGGAGGCAGCAGUAGGGAAUCUUCGGCAAUGGACGAAAGUCUGACCGAGCAACGCCGCGUGAGUGAAGAAGGUUUUCGGAUCGUAAAACUCUGUUGGUAGAGAAGAACGUUGGUGAGAGUGGAAAGCUCAUCAAGUGACGGUAACUACCCAGAAAGGGACGGCUAACUACGU
rnacentral:rRNA from 1 species